AACCACUGUCUUCAAUGUGUCUGUGCGAUGGACCACAGUGAGGGUGCACAGAAAACAUAAAUACUAGCAGCCUCUAAUUCUGGUGUCCUUAAUGCUACCACCUUCAAGUUCUUAUACUGUUACUUGCUUGCUCUGUAUACACAACUUUAAAUGGGGCUCCCUGCUUCUAGAGCAGCAAGCAAAUGGGGAAAUUGGACCAGAACUACCCUGCUGGCCUGGCAGUGUUAUCACAGAGUAUUGGCAGGCUCACACCUCGUGCUCGCUCACCUGUUAUCAAACUCAGUCACGUUGUGCAGCUGUUUUCGAGAUUUCUUAUGCUAUUGAUGCUUGAACUAAACUUCUCCUUUGUAAAGGAAAGAAGUUGAGAACUCAAGUCUCACAGUGCAACCCAGAGAACUGAGCCUUUGAAUGCUGCUGUGUCCCAGGCUGCUUGUCAGAGGAUGCACAGUACAACAUGUUGAAGGUACUGAACAAUCUCAUAUUGUUAUCGAAGCUGGCACCACUGCAACACAGCGAGUCACAGGGUGCACAGGUCCCCCAGCACCCCGGUGGGGUUCCCAUGGUCUCUGCCAGCCCCUUCCAAUCUGCUCACCCUUUGCUGUCAUCAACAUCAUCCCUGGUGUCAGAGUUUCAGCACGUCCAGAGGGUGGCUGGGGGGUACCCCCUCCAGCAGGACAGGGUGUUUCUGGAGCCCAGAGAUGCUGCUGCUCUCCAAGGGAGACAAGAGGAGCAGCAAGACAGCCCAACCAUGCGAUGCUCUGCAGCCACCGUCAGCUGAUUUAAACAACCCAAGGGGUUGCAAAACACAAGAAUUGAGGAAAUGUGGUCCAGAGUAACUGUGAGGCAGAUGUGGAACCCCAGGAUGCCAUUGCUACAGACUCGCUUUUCAGGCGAGAACAAUACUUUAAAAUGAAAAAUUCAUUACCCAGAUCUGUGAAAAGCAAAUGAAGCUCAGCCUUUCCUAACCUUGACAUUUUCCAGACUGCUGGCCAAAUCCACGGGUAGGACACAGGCAUGCCCCCUGCCCCCACCCUUCAAAGGGAUAGCUGGUGACAGGGAAUGGCUUUCAGAUGUGACUUAACUUCUCUGAACCGGUCGUGACACCACCGCGUCCCAGCACACAAAGUGCUGUGCAUCCACACCUCUAAUUGCCAGGCCCGGUGGUAAAGCUUUGCUGCUCUGGGCGUGCGUUCCCCGGAGACAGAGCAGAAAAGGAGUGGGUGAAAGCAGAGGGCAACCACCAGUGAGUGCACUCGGCAGAAGACCAUUUGCAUGUUGCCAGUAGCCACCCCACGUAGCCACCGAGCUAUUUGUGCAGCCAGGUUCUGCUUGCUGCCUAGGGGGUGUUCUUCGCCCCUGUCCCCCCAGCUCUGCGUGCAACCUGAAUGUUUCUGCCAAAGGACCUUGGCGUGCGGGCCACCUUUCAAAUGCUCGCUUCCCUGCUGGGUAGAGGCUCUGCAGAUGGUGGGGACAGAGGCUGUGAGCCUCUCAGCUCCAAAGAGCUCUUCCUGCUCCAGUGAGUGGUAUUCCCUGAGCCCCGCUGAUGAAAGGCACAGAUGUGCCUGCAGAGGAGCGGCUCUCCGUGCACGCAGUGGUCCCCAGAGCCCUCUUCAGCUGGUUUGAUGUCUAAGUGGAAGGGAAGAAAAUAAGCUGACAGUGGGGUUACCACCCGGAUGAUUUGCUGAAUUGAUUAGCUGCUUCUUUCCAGGGCUCGCACCCAGACAAACAGCAGCCUCGCUGGGGCACACCGGCCAAGUAAUGACCUGGGCGAGGAGCGCUCUGCAGAAGGACCGGCUGUAAUGAUGUGCUGCUUCCCUGGGCAAGAAACAAAGGAAAAGCCGGGGAAAACAAUGCACAGGGAAGUAAACACCAUCGAGAAUGAGGCAAGGGAAAUGCAGCUUGUGCGAGACAGAGCCAAAACAAGCACCCUCCAGCAGCAGCUGGUUUGGACUCCAGUUUGUGUGUAAGGGGCUGGGCAGGCAAGGAAGGAGAGCCCAGCUGCAGGUGUAUGCACACCCCGUCCCUCUGUCUGUCUGUCUUUCUCUUCAGGGUAUGCAAACGGGAGAGAGACAGGACAGGGGUGCUGACCCCAGCAGCUGUAUCGGGGCUUGCUGGGCAUCACCCUCUGUUCAGGGGAGCAGGCCUGCUUUCACAGGUAGGAAGCACCCUGCUAUGGCCAGCGGGCAGCUACACCACAGGCAGGGGCUGGGUGAAGCUCCUCCCAGCCUGACUGCUCU